rnacentral:rRNA from 1 species
GACGAACGCUGGCGGCGUGCCUAAUACAUGCAAGUAGAACGCUGAAGAGAGGAGCUUGCUCUUCUUGGAUGAGUUGCGAACGGGUGAGUAACGCGUAGGUAACCUGCCUUGUAGCGGGGGAUAACUAUUGGAAACGAUAGCUAAUACCGCAUAACAAUAGGUGACACAUGUCAUUUAUUUGAAAGGGGCAAUUGCUCCACUACAAGAUGGACCUGCGUUGUAUUAGCUAGUAGGUGAGGUAACGGCUCACCUAGGCGACGAUACAUAGCCGACCUGAGAGGGUGAUCGGCCACACUGGGACUGAGACCCGGCCCAGACUCCUACGGGAGGCAGCAGUAGGGAAUCUUCGGCAAUGGGGGCAACCCUGACCGAGCAACGCCGCGUGAGUGAAGAAGGUUUUCGGAUCGUAAAGCUCUGUUGUAAGUCAAGAACGAGUGUGAGAGUGGAAAGUUCACACUGUGACGGUAGCUUACCAGAAAGGGACGGCUAACUACGUG